GGACCCUUUGGACUUUAAUGUAGACCAAUUUGAAAACGGGACUAAAAAUUAAGAAUCUACAUACACAGUAAGAUUUGGCAUAUCAAAGAACCCCAAUUAUUCAAUUUUUGAUGAAAUCAAACAAAGUUUAAUUUGAACCCGAUUUGGACCAACUUGAAAACUGGGCCAAUAAUCAACAAGAGUGCACACACUGAAAUGUCUCGCCUUCUUUACUAAUCAUUGAUAUUAUGUUGAUAGUCCUAAGUAUAAAGCUUUAUUACAACUGUCACAUAAACGUUACAUUAACCAAGAUAACUAAACAAAGACCAAUGAACCAUGAAAAUGAGGUCAAGGUCAGAUGAACCAUGCCAGGCUGACAUGUACAGCUAACAAUGCUUCCAUAAAACAAAUAUAGUUGACCUAAUACUUAUAGUUUAAGAAAAAUAGACCAAAACACAAAAACUUAACACUGAGCAAUGAACCGUGAAAAUGAGGCCAAGGUCAAAUAAAACCUGCGCCACUAAUAUAUAAAUCAUAAAAUAUUUCCAUACACUAAAUAUAGUUGACCUAUGGCGUAUAGUAUCAGAUAAAAAGACCAAAACUGAAAAACUUAACUUUGACCACUGAACCAUAAAAUGAGGUCAAGGUCAGAUGACAUCUGUCCGCUAGACAUGUUCACCUUACAAUCAUUCCAUACAACAAAUAUAGUAGACCUAUUGCAUAAAGUAUGAGAAAAACAGACCAAAAC
rnacentral:lncRNA from 1 species